UACGGAGGGGGCAAGCGUUAUUCGGAAUUAUUGGGCGUAAAGGGCGUGUAGGCGGCCAUAUAUGUCUCAUGUGAAAGCCCUCGGCUCAACCGAGGAAUUGCAUGGGAAACGGUAUGGCUUGAGUCCGGGAGAGGAUAGUGGAAUUCCCAGUGUAGCGGUGAAAUGCGUAGAUAUUGGGAGGAACACCGGUGGCGAAGGCGGCUAUCUGGACCGGUACUGACGCUGAGACGCGAAAGCCAGGGGAGCAAACGGG
rnacentral:rRNA from 1 species